GGGCCGGCGGGGUCAGCUCGGUCGCCUCAGGCCUACCCUGCUGCCCUUGGCCGUGGGAGGUUCCUCGGGAAGGCGCAGUCCCCACCAGGCAGCCCCUGGUGGCCGCCCGAGCCUUCCUGGGCCUCCAGGCCCCUGGGGAGGGAGCCAAGAUGGCUGGCACGCCCUCGGGCACGGCGGGACGGGCAGCCGGGCCGGCUGGCUUAGAGCCCGAGGGGCCAGAGGCCAGACCUGGGUCCCGGGACAUCACCUGCUUGAAACCACGAGACUGAGGGAGGAGGGAAGCUGGCC
rnacentral:lncRNA from 1 species